GACGAACGCUGGCGGCGUGCUUAACACAUGCAAGUCGAGCGGUAAGGCCCUUCGGGGUACACGAGCGGCGAACGGGUGAGUAACACGUGAGCAACCUGCCCCUGACUCUGGGAUAAGCGGUGGAAACGCCGUCUAAUACCGGAUACGACCCGCCACCUCAUGGUGGAGGGUGGAAAGUUUUUCGGUCAGGGAUGGGCUCGCGGCCUAUCAGCUUGUUGGUGGGGUAACGGCCUACCAAGGCGAUUACGGGUAGCCGGCCUGAGAGGGCGACCGGCCACACUGGGACUGAGACACGGCCCAGACUCCUGCGGGAGGCAGCAGUGGGGAAUAUUGCGCAAUGGGCGAAAGCCUGACGCAGCGACGCCGCGUGGGGGAUGACGGCCUUCGGGUUGUAAACCUCUUUUACCACCAACGCAGGCUUCCAGUUCUCUGGAGGUUGACGGUAGGUGGGGAAUAAGGACCGGCUAACUACGUGCCAGCAGCCGCGGUAAUACGUAGGGUCCGAGCGUUGUCCGGAAUUAUUGGGCGUAAAGAGCUCGUAGGCGGCGUGUCGCGUCUGCUGUGAAAGACCGGGGCUUAACUCCGGUUCUGCAGUGGAUACGGGCAUGCUAGAGGUAGGUAGGGGAGACUGGAAUUCCUGGUGUAGCGGUGAAAUGCGCAGAUAUCAGGAGGAACACCGGUGGCGAAGGCGGGUCUCUGGGCCUUACCUGACGCUGAGGAGCGAAAGCAUGGGGAGCGAACAGGAUUAGAUACCCUGGUAGUCCAUGCCGUAAACGUUGGGCGCUAGGUGUGGGGACUUUCCACGGUUUCCGCGCCGUAGCUAACGCAUUAAGCGCCCCGCCUGGGGAGUACGGCCGCAAGGCUAAAACUCAAAGGAAUUGACGGGGGCCCGCACAAGCGGCGGAGCAUGUUGCUUAAUUCGACGCAACGCGGAAGAACCUUACCAAGGUUUGACAUCACCCGUGGACUCGCAGAGAUGCGAGGUCAUUUAGGUUGGCGGGUGACAGGUGGUGCAUGCUGUCGUCAGCUCGUGUCGUGAGAUGGUUGGGUCAGUCCCGCACGAGCGCAAUCCUUGUUUCAUGUUGCCAGCACGUUAAUGGGUGGGGAACUCAUUGGGAAGAACUGUGCCAGU
rnacentral:rRNA from 1 species